AGAGUUUGAUCAUGGCUCAGGACGAACGCUGGCGGCGUGCUUAACACAUGCAAGUCGAACGGAAAGGCCCUUCGGGGUACUCGAGUGGCGAACGGGUGAGUAACACGUGGGUGAUCUGCCCUGCACUUUGGGAUAAGCCUGGGAAACUGGGUCUAAUACCGAAUAUGACCACGCUCUUCAUGGGGUGUGGUGGAAAGCUUUUGCGGUGUGGGAUGGGCCCGCGGCCUAUCAGCUUGUUGGUGGGGUAAUGGCCUACCAAGGCGACGACGGGUAGCCGGCCUGAGAGGGUGACCGGCCACACUGGGACUGAGAUACGGCCCAGACUCCUACGGGAGGCAGCAGUGGGGAAUAUUGCACAAUGGGCGCAAGCCUGAUGCAGCGACGCCGCGUGAGGGAUGACGGCCUUCGGGUUGUAAACCUCUUUCACCAGGGACGAAGCGCAAGUGACGGUACCUGGAGAAGAAGCACCGGCCAACUACGUGCCAGCAGCCGCGGUAAUACGUAGGGUGCGAGCGUUGUCCGGAAUUACUGGGCGUAAAGAGCUCGUAGGUGGUUUGUCGCGUUGUUCGUGAAAACUCACAGCUUAACUGUGGGCGUGCGGGCGAUACGGGCAGACUAGAGUACUGCAGGGGAGACUGGAAUUCCUGGUGUAGCGGUGGAAUGCGCAGAUAUCAGGAGGAACACCGGUGGCGAAGGCGGGUCUCUGGGCAGUAACUGACGCUGAGGAGCGAAAGCGUGGGGAGCGAACAGGAUUAGAUACCCCGGUAGUCCAA
rnacentral:rRNA from 1 species